UAGGCAAAUUACAUGUCAUGCUUUUUAAAAUUGAUCUCAUCCUGUCAGUCACUGUCAGAGAAGCUCUCGCUGGAUCAUUUUCAACACCAACAUGUUCUCUAUAUCUGUGCUGCUGCUGCUGGCUGCUGGAUCCUAUGUGAAGUGUGAACAGCUGACACAGCCAGCCUCUGUGACUGUGCAGCCAGGUCAACAUCUGACCAUCAGCUGUCAGGUCUCUUAUUAUGUGAGCAGCUACCAGACACAUUGGAUCAGACAGCCUGCAGGAAAAGGCCUGGAGUGGAUUGGUUACAUGUGCACUGGAUGCACAGGAGCUCGCAAAGAUUCUUUAAAGAGCAAGUUCAGUAUUACAGUAGAAGAGUCCAGUAAAACCGUGACUCUGAAUGGACAGAAUCUGCAGCCUGAAGACUCUGCUGUGUAUUACUGUGCCAGAUACGACCACAGUGACACAAAUAAGCAGGAGGGCUGUACAAAAACCUCUCAGGACCUGAACACAUAACUACCAGGGGAGGAGCUGUAAAACCACUAAUGACUCCAUUGCAAAUUCUC